UCCGGCUGCAGAGGGAAAUUGAGGACCUUACACAGCAGCUAGCGGCCAUGCAGUUCUUCAACGACAAGUUCCAGGGCCUUUGAAGUUGGAGCCAGCGUCCGGAGCUGCAGCCAAGCGAGUUUCCUCCUUAUCCUCCUUAGCCAGGGCUUUUUCUCUUCCGCUGCAUUUGCCCCCUUCCCAACGCAGUUCAAAGCAGUGUGAAAUAAAGUCG
rnacentral:lncRNA from 1 species